rnacentral:lncRNA from 10 species
UCCACAUUCCCCAGGGUCCAGUGUAGUCUUGUGUCUAAGCUGGUGUCUGGCCACCAAAGGCAGGCGUGCAGGGCCUUGGCUACUGCGCUAGGUCUGCUGAUGGCCACAAGCCUUUAGUCCCAGCUCUGCCUUAGCAAUGGGGGUGUCUGAAGGCUCAGGGGAUACACAGGUCCUCUAGGUUCCUGGGGAGAUGAUGAGUGAGAGUUUCGACCAGGAGUGGAUACUGAGGAGAGCAAAGAUCACCUGGUGCUCAUCAAGCCGGACUUCCAGAGGCAAAGCUCCUUAACUGAAGAAUUCAGAAAUGAUCCAGUGCAGGACCCUGAGAAGCCCACAGGAGAAGAAGAAUCCCUAAAGUGAGAGAAACCUGGGCCCUUGAGUGACUGCAUGGAGAAGAGCCCCAUCAU